rnacentral:lncRNA from 1 species
CACCCUUAUUUAAUUUUUUUAAAACUCACCCCUAUUUAACUUUUUUAAAAAUUUAAAUUUAAAUUUUUAAUUAUAAAUUUUAAAAAUUUAUAAUUUAUAAUCUUAAAAUUAAAAUUUUAUAAUUUUAUAAUUUUAAAUUUUAAAUUAAUAUUUUAAAUUUUAAAAUUUUAUUCUCGGAAACUAACUCAAAUUUAUUCAAACGCAAAAUUAGUUUAUUUCAGACUUAUAACUGAACUUAUAUCUAUCAUUGAAAUAGUCAGUUAUUGCUUAUACCCGUACCCCACCCAUUCUUGCUUAUACCUGAAAUAAAUAGUUCUUGCUAACAGACAAGUAUAAGUUCAGGUGUAAACAGUUCUUACCUAUUCCAGGGAGUGGGGGUUAGGAUAACCGGUUGAGGAGUGGAGUUAACAACCCCCAUCCCUAUUUAACACCGUUUGGGGAUAAGAGGGGGAUCCCCAACUAAACGACUGCUGAGAUUUUUGUAAGAAUAAUAUAAAAAAGUUGAGGUUUAUAGGAAUAUAUAUUUGUAAUUUGUUAUAUUUACAGGAAGGUAUAUGUAAUUAACUCUUUGUUUAAAAUAAUGAGAUUGGUUUGAGUCAUAUCUUAAAAACUGUUGUAAAGAACUAGUUUUGAACAAUUUUCCUUCGCAACGGAGUUUAUUUUUCGUUAAUAAAAGGAUUAGAAUAA